rnacentral:rRNA from 1 species
GACGAACGCUGGCGGCGUGCUUAACACAUGCAAGUCGAACGGAAAGGCCCUGCUUUUGUGGGGUGCUCGAGUGGCGAACGGGUGAGUAACACGUGAGUAACCUGCCCUUGACUUUGGGAUAACUUCAGGAAACUGGGGCUAAUACCGGAUAGGAGCUCCUGCUGCAUGGUGGGGGUUGGAAAGUUUCGGCGGUUGGGGAUGGACUCGCGGCUUAUCAGCUUGUUGGUGGGGUAGUGGCUUACCAAGGCUUUGACGGGUAGCCGGCCUGAGAGGGUGACCGGCCACAUUGGGACUGAGAUACGGCCCAGACUCCUACGGGAGGCAGCAGUGGGGAAUAUUGCACAAUGGGCGGAAGCCUGAUGCAGCAACGCCGCGUGCGGGAUGACGGCCUUCGGGUUGUAAACCGCUUUCGCCUGUGACGAAGCGUGAGUGACGGUAAUGGGUAAAGAAGCACCGGCUAACUACGUGCCAGCAGCCGCGGUGAUACGUAGGGUGCGAGCGUUGUCCGGAUUUAUUGGGCGUAAAGGGCUCGUAGGUGGUUGAUCGCGUCGGAAGUGUAAUCUUGGGGCUUAACCCUGAGCGUGCUUUCGAUACGGGUUGACUUGAGGAAGGUAGGGGAGAAUGGAAUUCCUGGUGGAGCGGUGGAAUGCGCAGAUAUCAGGAGGAACACCAGUGGCGAAGGCGGUUCUCUGGGCCUUUCCUGACGCUGAGGAGCGAAAGCGUGGGGAGCGAACAGGCUUAGAUACCCUGGUAGUCCACGCUGUAAACGGUGGGUACUAGGUGUGGGGUCCAUUCCACGGGUUCCGUGCCGUAGCUAACGCUUUAAGUACCCCGCCUGGGGAGUACGGCCGCAAGGCUAAAACUCAAAGGAAUUGACGGGGCCCCGCACAAGCGGCGGAGCAUGCGGAUUAAUUCGAUGCAACGCGUAGAACCUUACCUGGGUUUGACAUGGAUCGGGAGUGCUCAGAGAUGGGUGUGCCUCUUUUGGGGUCGGUUCACAGGUGGUGCAUGCCUGUCGUCAGCUCGUGUCGUGAGAUGUUGGGUUAAGUCCCGCAACGAGCGCAACCCUUGUUCACUGUUGCCAGCACGUUAUGGUGGGGACUCAGUGGAGACCGCCGGGGCCAACUCGGAGGAAGGUGGGGAUGACGUCAAGUCCUCAUGCCCCUUAUGUCCAGGGCUUCACGCAUGCUACAAUGGCUGGUACAGAGAGUGGCGAGCCUGUGAGGGUGAGCGAAUCUCGGAAAGCCGGUCUCAGUUCGGAUUGGGGUCUGCAACUCGACCUCAUGAAGUCGGAGUCGCUAGUAAUCGCAGAUCAGCAACGCUGCGGUGAAUACGUUCCCGGGGCU